rfam:Tupaia chinensis contig1724, whole genome shotgun sequence.
CUGGAGGGUGAUUUCUCACUUUCUCUUUCUCUGGUGAGCACACAUGCCCUGUAGCAAAACAUGGAAGAUCUGGUAGAUUCUCAAAUACUUUUCAAAGAUAUCCUUCACAAUCUAGCC